GUUCGGCAAAGAAGGAUAACGCGGACACAGUACCAUACGAGGCAAGUAAAGUAUAGUACAGCAAUGUUACUUUAAACUGGUGGGAUGUCAUACACACGAAGCGGCUGGACUCCACAGGUAAUCAGAUAAUACAGCAGAUACAAUACUACACACGGUGGAAUGGCGUCAAUGGCGUCAUCAAGUCACGUGAUCUAUAUACGAGGACGACGUAUCGGCAAAGGAGGGAACCUUUCCUCGCCAAACAACACGUGAACAGUUUAAGGCAAGGCCAAUUCUUUGUAAAACUUAAUGUCGAACACUAGUUACACUUGUCAAAGUUUCAGCUGCAAUUUAAAACUCAAUUUGAG